GGUUAAGCGACUAAGCGUACACGGUGGAUGCCCUGGCAGUCAGAGGCGAUGAAGGACGUGCUAAUCUGCGAUAAGCGUCGGUGAGGUGAUAUGAACCGUUAUAACCGGCGAUUUCCGAAUGGGGAAACCCAGUGUGUUUCGACACACUAUCAUUAACUGAAUCCAUAGGUUAAUGAGGCGAACCGGGGGAACUGAAACAUCUAAGUACCCCGAGGAAAAGAAAUCAACCGAGAUUCCCCCAGUAGCGGCGAGCGAACGGGGAGGAGCCCAGAGCCUGAAUCAGUGUGUGUGUUAGUGGAAGCGUCUGGAAAGGCGCGCGAUACAGGGUGACAGCCCCGUACACAAAAAUGCACAUGCUGUGAGCUCGAUGAGUAGGGCGGGACACGUGGUAUCCUGUCUGAAUAUGGGGGGACCAUCCUCCAAGGCUAAAUACUCCUGACUGACCGAUAGUGAACCAGUACCGUGAGGGAAAGGCGAAAAGAACCCCGGCGAGGGGAGUGAAAAAGAACCUGAAACCGUGUACGUACAAGCAGUGGGAGCCUCUUAAUGGGGUGACUGCGUACCUUUUGUAUAAUGGGUCAGCGACUUAUAUUCUGUAGCAAGGUUAACCGAAUAGGGGAGCCGAAGGGAAACCGAGUCUUAACUGGGCGUUAAGUUGCAGGGUAUAGACCCGAAACCCGGUGAUCUAGCCAUGGGCAGGUUGAAGGUUGGGUAACACUAACUGGAGGACCGAACCGACUAAUGUUGAAAAAUUAGCGGAUGACUUGUGGCUGGGGGUGAAAGGCCAAUCAAACCGGGAGAUAGCUGGUUCUCCCCGAAAGCUAUUUAGGUAGCGCCUCGUGAAUUCAUCUCCGGGGGUAGAGCACUGUUUCGGCAAGGGGGUCAUCCCGACUUACCAACCCGAUGCAAACUGCGAAUACCGGAGAAUGUUAUCACGGGAGACACACGGCGGGUGCUAACGUCCGUCGUGAAGAGGGAAACAACCCAGACCGCCAGCUAAGGUCCCAAAGUCAUGGUUAAGUGGGAAACGAUGUGGGAAGGCCCAGACAGCCAGGAUGUUGGCUUAGAAGCAGCCAUCAUUUAAAGAAAGCGUAAUAGCUCACUGGUCGAGUCGGCCUGCGCGGAAGAUGUAACGGGGCUAAACCAUGCACCGAAGCUGCGGCAGCGACACUAUGUGUUGUUGGGUAGGGGAGCGUUCUGUAAGCCUGUGAAGGUGGCCUGUGAGGGUUGCUGGAGGUAUCAGAAGUGCGAAUGCUGACAUAAGUAACGAUAAAGCGGGUGAAAAGCCCGCUCGCCGGAAGACCAAGGGUUCCUGUCCAACGUUAAUCGGGGCAGGGUGAGUCGACCCCUAAGGCGAGGCCGAAAGGCGUAGUCGAUGGGAAACAGGUUAAUAUUCCUGUACUUGGUGUUACUGCGAAGGGGGGACGGAGAAGGCUAUGUUGGCCGGGCGACGGUUGUCCCGGUUUAAGCGUGUAGGCUGGUUUUCCAGGCAAAUCCGGAAAACCAAGGCUGAGGCGUGAUGACGAGGCACUACGGUGCUGAAGUGACAAAUGCCCUGCUUCCAGGAAAAGCCUCUAAGCAUCAGGUAACAUCAAAUCGUACCCCAAACCGACACAGGUGGUCAGGUAGAGAAUACCAAGGCGCUUGAGAGAACUCGGGUGAAGGAACUAGGCAAAAUGGUGCCGUAACUUCGGGAGAAGGCACGCUGAUAUGUAGGUGAAGCGACUUGCUCGUGGAGCUGAAAUCAGUCGAAGAUACCAGCUGGCUGCAACUGUUUAUUAAAAACACAGCACUGUGCAAACACGAAAGUGGACGUAUACGGUGUGACGCCUGCCCGGUGCCGGAAGGUUAAUUGAUGGGGUUAGCGGUAACGCGAAGCUCUUGAUCGAAGCCCCGGUAAACGGCGGCCGUAACUAUAACGGUCCUAAGGUAGCGAAAUUCCUUGUCGGGUAAGUUCCGACCUGCACGAAUGGCGUAAUGAUGGCCAGGCUGUCUCCACCCGAGACUCAGUGAAAUUGAACUCGCUGUGAAGAUGCAGUGUACCCGCGGCAAGACGGAAAGACCCCGUGAACCUUUACUAUAGCUUGACACUGAACAUUGAGCCUUGAUGUGUAGGAUAGGUGGGAGGCUUUGAAGUGUGGACGCCAGUCUGCAUGGAGCCGACCUUGAAAUACCACCCUUUAAUGUUUGAUGUUCUAACGUUGGCCCCUAAUCGGGGUUGCGGACAGUGUCUGGUGGGUAGUUUGACUGGGGCGGUCUCCUCCUAAAGAGUAACGGAGGAGCACGAAGGUUGGCUAAUCCUGGUCGGACAUCAGGAGGUUAGUGCAAUGGCAUAAGCCAGCUUGACUGCGAGCGUGACGGCGCGAGCAGGUGCGAAAGCAGGUCAUAGUGAUCCGGUGGUUCUGAAUGGAAGGGCCAUCGCUCAACGGAUAAAAGGUACUCCGGGGAUAACAGGCUGAUACCGCCCAAGAGUUCAUAUCGACGGCGGUGUUUGGCACCUCGAUGUCGGCUCAUCACAUCCUGGGGCUGAAGUAGGUCCCAAGGGUAUGGCUGUUCGCCAUUUAAAGUGGUACGCGAGCUGGGUUUAGAACGUCGUGAGACAGUUCGGUCCCUAUCUGCCGUGGGCGCUGGAGAACUGAGGGGGGCUGCUCCUAGUACGAGAGGACCGGAGUGGACGCAUCACUGGUGUUCGGGUUGUCAUGCCAAUGGCACUGCCCGGUAGCUAAAUGCGGAAGAGAUAAGUGCUGAAAGCAUCUAAGCACGAAACUUGCCCCGAGAUGAGUUCUCCCUGAGACUUAGAGUCUCCUGAAGGAACGUUGAAGACGACGACGUUGAUAGGCCGGGUGUGUAAGCGCAGCGAUGCGUUGAGCUAACCGGUACUAAUGAACCGUGAGGCUUAACCUU
rnacentral:rRNA from 1 species